CGCACAUUGCACCUUUUGGUAUUCCGAGAGGUAUGCUUGUUCGAGCGUCGUUUACUGUAUAUCAAUUUAAUUAUUGAUGUGUUGAGAGAUUUUGACAUCAAAACUUUCUAAAAUCAUUGAAGCGGUCUUGACUGAAUAUUAUUGAACGCAUUGAAUAUUUUUUAAUUAAAAUCGUGCAAGAAAAUCAGUGGGAGAUUAGCCAAAACACAAUUGAGAAUGUAACAAUUUUCUACUAAUCGUAACGAAUCGACCUCGAAUCAAGCAAGAGUACCCGCUGAACUUAA
rnacentral:misc_RNA from 1 species